rnacentral:rRNA from 1 species
AUUGAACGCUGGCGGCAUGCUUUACACAUGCAAGUCGAACGGUAACAGGCCGCAAGGUGCUGACGAGUGGCGAACGGGUGAGUAAUGCAUCGGAACGUGCCCAGUCGUGGGGGAUAACGCAGCGAAAGCUGUGCUAAUACCGCAUACGAUCUGUGGAUGAAAGCGGGGGACCUUCGGGCCUCGCGCGAUUGGAGCGGCCGAUGUCAGAUUAGGUAGUUGGUGGGGUAAAGGCUCACCAAGCCGACGAUCUGUAGCUGGUCUGAGAGGACGACCAGCCACACUGGGACGGAGACACGGCCCAGACUCCUACGGGAGGCAGCAGUGGGGAAUUUUGGACAAUGGGCGCAAGCCUGAUCCAGCAAUGCCGCGUGCAGGAAGAAAGCCUUCGGGUUGUAAACUGCUUUUGUACGGAGCGAAAAGGCUCCCUCUAAUACAGGGGGCUCAUGACGGUACCGUAAGAAUAAGCACCGGCUAACUACGUGCCAGCCGCCGCCGUAACAC